rnacentral:rRNA from 1 species
UACGUAGGGGGCUAGCGUUGUCCGGAAUCAUUGGGCGUAAAGCGCGUGUAGGCGGUUCGGUAAGUCCGCUGUGAAAGUCGGGGGCUCAACCCUCGGAUGCCGGUGGAAACUGUCGGACUAGAGUACGGAAGAGGCGAGUGGAAUUCCUGGUGUAGCGGUGAAAUGCGCAGAUAUCAGGAGGAACACCGAUUGCGAAGGCAGCUCGCUGGGACGUUACUGACGCUGAGACGCGAAAGCGUGGGAGCAAACAGG